rnacentral:rRNA from 1 species
UACGUAGGGUGCGAGCGUUGUCCGGAAUUACUGGGCGUAAAGAGCUCGUAGGUGGUUUGUCGCGUUGUUCGUGAAAACUCACAACUCAAUUGUGGGCGUGCGGGCGAUACGGGCAGACUGGAGUACUGCAGGGGAGACUGGAAUUCCUGGUGUAGCGGUGGAAUGCGCAGAUAUCAGGAGGAACAUCGGUGGCGAAGGCGGGUCUCUGGGCAGUAACUGACGCUGAGGAGCGAAAGCGUGGGGAGCGAACAGG